UACCAGCACCCCGAGUGGUCGGGACGAUUAUUGGGCCUAAAGCAUCCGUAGCCGGUUUUACAAGUCCUCCGUUAAAUCCAGCUGCUUAACAGAUGGGCUGCGGAGGAUACUAUAAGACUAGGAGGCAGGAGAGGCAAGCGGUACUCAGUGGGUAGGGGUAAAAUCCGUUGAUCCAUUGAAGACCACCAGUGGCGAAGGCGGCUUGCCCAGAAUGCGCUCGACGGUGAGGGAUGAAAGCUGGGGGAGCAAACCGG
rnacentral:rRNA from 1 species